rnacentral:rRNA from 1 species
CAGUCGCCGCGGGAAUACGUAGGUGGCAAGCGUUGUCCGGAAUUAUUGGGCGUAAAGGGCUCGCAGGCGGUUUCUUAAGUCUGAUGUGAAAGCCCCCGGCUCAACCGGGGAGGGUCAUUGGAAACUGGGAAACUUGAGUGCAGAAGAGGAGAGUGGAAUUCCACGUGUAGCGGUGAAAUGCGUAGAGAUGUGGAGGAACACCAGUGGCGAAGGCGACUCUCUGGUCUGUGACUGACGCUGAGGAGCGAAAGCGUGGGGAGCGAACAGGAUUAGAUACCUCAGUAGUCCCUGUCUCUUAUAC